UUUUUUUUUUCCCCAUUGAUCAUUAAUCAAAAUUCAUGUAGGGGAUAGGGAUGAAUUUCUUCAUUUUGGUUAAAACCCUUUUUUUUUUUGGUAUGUGUGAUAAGCUUGAAAACCUCCCGCGAGAUUUAUGACGGUAUUACUUGAUAUCUUUAAAUUUUUAAAAAAAUAUUAUUUACCUCGACUAUUUUAAAAUUUUUUAAAUAGUUUUAUCAACUCAUUUCGAAGAAUAUGAUUUAAAAACUUAUUUUGAGAGAGAGAAGAUAUUUCUAUUCCAAAAUUACCGUUUUUUUGUGAACAUUUAGUUUUCAGAAGAACAAACCAAGUUAAUUCUUUAAG
rnacentral:lncRNA from 1 species